rnacentral:tRNA from 1 species
GGGGUUGUGGUUUAGUGGUAUAAUGCUCGUUUCGCAUACGAGAGGUCAGGGGUUCGAUUCCCCUCAACUCCA